rnacentral:rRNA from 1 species
AUUGAACGCUGGCGGCAUGCCUUACACAUGCAAGUCGAACGGCAGCACGGGGGCUUGCACCUGGUGGCGAGUGGCGCACGGGGGUGUAAUACAUCUGGACAUGUCCUGUAGGGGGGGGUAGCCCGGCGGAAGCCGGAUUGAUACCGCAUACGAUCUACUGAUGCAAGCGGGUUCCCUACUGGCCGCGCGCUUUGGGGUUGGCCGAUGGCUGAUUAGCUAGUUGGUAGGGUAAUGGCCUACCAAGGCGACGAUCAGUAGCCGGUCUGAGAGGACGACCAGCCACACUGGAACUGAGACACGGCCCAGACUCCUACGGGAGGCAGCAGUGGGGAAUUUUGGACAAUGGGCGAAAGCCUGAUCCAGCAAUGCCGCGUGUGUGAAGAAGGCCUUCGGAUUGUAAAGCACUUUUGUCCGGAAAGAAAAACUUGGCAAUAAUACGGUCGGGGGAUGACGGUACCGGAAGAAUAAGCCCCGGCUAACUACGUG